rnacentral:rRNA from 1 species
GACGAACGCUGGCGGCGUGCUUAACACAUGCAAGUCGAACGGAAAGGCGCAGCUGCUGUCGGGUGCUCGUGUGGGGAACGAGUGAGUAAGAAGCGCGUGACCUGCCCUUGCUUUUGGGAUGACUACGGGAAAGUGGGGCUAAUAACGACUUGGUGCUCCGGCUGCAUGGCGGGGGGUGGGAGGUAACGACGUUUGCGGUUGGGGGUGGGCCCGCGGUUUAUCAGCGUGUUGGAGGGGUAGUGGCUUACCAAGGCUGGGACGGGUAGCCGGCCUGAGAGGGGGACCGGCCACAUUGGGACUGAGAUACGGCCGAGACUCCUACGGGGGGCAGCAGUGGGGAAUAGUGCACAAUUGGCGGAAGCCUGAUGCAGCAGCGCCGCGUGCGGGAUGACUGCCUUCGGGUUGUAAACCGCUUUCGCCUGUGACGAAGCGUGUGUGGCGUGAAUGGGUAGAGAAGCACCGGCUAACUACGUG